GUCCGGAAAUACUUGUCAUCAAAAUGGAUAAAAGGAAAUGUAUCUAGACGUAUUUUAGUUUUAGAUACAUCUCUUUUUAUCUAUUUUGAUGACUAGUAUUUUCGGAC
rnacentral:pre_miRNA from 1 species